CAGUAGCCGCGGUAAUACAGAGGGUGCGAGCGUUAAUCGGAUUUACUGGGCGUAAAGCGUGCGUAGGCGGCUUCUUAAGUCAGAUGUGAAAUCCCUGAGCUUAACUUAGGAAUUGCAUUCGAUACUGGGAAGCUAGAGUAUGGGAGAGGAUGGUAGAAUUCCAGGUGUAGCGGUGAAAUGCGUAGAGAUCUGGAGGAAUACCGAUGGCGAAGGCAGCCAUCUGGCCUAAUACUGACGCUGAGGUACGAAAGCAUGGGGAGCAAACAGGAUUAGAUACCCGCGUAGUCCCUGUCUCUUAUAC
rnacentral:rRNA from 1 species